rnacentral:ncRNA from 1 species
UCUUAUCAAGAGAGGUGGAGGGAUGUGCCCGAUGAAACCCGGCAACCGUCAAAAUAUUUUUGAAAUGGUGCCAAUUCACACAAAGCAAAAAUGCUUUGGUAGAUGAGA